GGUUAAGUUAGAAAGGGCGCACGGUGGAUGCCUUGACACUAGGAGUCGAUGAAGGACGGGACUAACGCCGAUAUGCUUCGGGGAGCUGUAAGUAAGCUUUGAUCCGAAGAUUUCCGAAUGGGGAAACCCACUAUACGUAAUGGUAUGGUAUCCUUACCUGAAUACAUAGGGUAUGGAAGACAGACCCAGGGAACUGAAACAUCUAAGUACCUGGAGGAAGAGAAAGCAAAUGCGAUUUCCUGAGUAGCGGCGAGCGAAACGGAAUCUAGCCCAAACCAAGAGGCUUGCCUCUUGGGGUUGUAGGACAUUCUAUACGGAGUUACAAAGGAACGAGGUAGACGAAGCGACCUGGAAAGGUCCGUCACAGAGGGUAAUAACCCCGUAGUCGAAACUUCGUUCUCUCUUGAAUGUAUCCUGAGUACGGCGGAACACGUGAAAUUCCGUCGGAAUCUGGGAGGACCAUCUCCCAAGGCUAAAUACUCCCUAGUGAUCGAUAGUGAACCAGUACCGUGAGGGAAAGGGUCGAC
rnacentral:rRNA from 2 species